rnacentral:rRNA from 1 species
UACGAAGGGGACUAGCGUUGUUCGGAAUUACUGGGCGUAAAGCGCACGUAGGCGGAUUUGUAAGUCAGGGGUGAAAUCCCGGGGCUCAACCUCGGAACUGCCUUUGAUACUGCAAAUCUCGAGUCCGAUAGAGGUGGGUGGAAUUCCUAGUGUAGAGGUGAAAUUCGUAGAUAUGAGGAAGAACACCAGUGGCGAAGGCGGCUCACUGGCCCGGAACUGACGCUGAGACGCGAAAGCGUGGGGAGCAAACAGG